rnacentral:rRNA from 1 species
UACGUAGGGAGCAAGCGUUGUCCGGAAUCAUUGGGCGUAAAGCGCGCGCAGGCGGUCUGCCAAGUUCGGAGUGACAGUUUCCGGCUUAACCGGAAAAGGUCUUCGAAAACUGGUGGACUUGAGGACUUGAGAGGGAGACGGAAUUCCGGGUGGAGCGGUGAAAUGCGUAGAGAUCCGGAGGAACACCGAAAGCGAAGGCAGUCUCCUGGCAAGUUUCUGACGCUCAGGUGCGAAAGCUAGGGGAGCGAACAGG